rnacentral:rRNA from 1 species
UCAGACGAUGCGUCAUGCAUAUCAAUAAGCGGAGGAAAAGAAACUAACAAGGAUUCCCCUAGUAACGGCGAGUGAAGCGGGAAGAGCUCAAAUUUGAAAUCUUCAAGGUUUUACCUUGACGAAUUGUAGUUUAAAGAAGUGUUUUCUGCUGAAGUUUUGGUAAAAGUUCUUUGGAAUAGGACAUCAUAGAGGGUGAGAAUCCCGUAUUUGACCAUUAUUUUCAGCUUUGUGAUACACUUUCAAAGAGUCGGAUUGUUUGGGAAUGCAGUCCAAAAUGGGUGGUAAAUUUCAUCUAAAGCUAAAUAUUGGCGAGAGACCGAUAGCGAACAAGUACCGUGAGGGAAAGAUGAAAAGAACUUUGAAAAGAGAGUUAAACAGUACGUGAAAUUGUCAAAAGGGAAGCGUUUGACACCAGUGUUGUUUUCUCGAAAAUCAAUUAAAAAUGGCUCGAUUUUGUAUUGUUUGAGACCUUAAAAGCUCACUGUACAUUUUUCGUGUCUUUUUUAAUGCACUUUUCGUUUAACAAGUCAACAUCAGUUUCUUUUGUUGUAAAAGGGUCAUUGGAAGGUGGCUUUCUUUUCGGAGAAAGUGUUUAUAGCCUUUGGCCUCUGCAAUCGGAGAGACUGAGGUCUGCAGCGUAGACUCUUCGGGGUUAGAUACAUUUGUGCUAAGUUAUAGCUUUUUAUAGACAACUUGUUGACUAUAAUUAGUCUUGUAGCUUACUCGCUUAUGCUAUUUUACCUACGCUUAGGAUGUUGACUGAUAUGUAGUCGUA